AUUCGGAUCUGAGCACUUUCCUGAUAGAAUUACAGGAGGUUGGUCGUAAACCUCUGACUAGGAAGGAGUUUCGAAGAACCAAAUUUGAAGUGUAAGCACUCCAGAAUUUCGCUUUUGGUGGGUGUUUUGGGAUGCCAAGUAGGGGCCGGACACCAAGGAGCAGUAGUUCUCUACAAUGUAGGACUUGAAAUUAACUUGGAAUUGUCCAGGUAAACACUACAGGUUCAUCCAUACAUUAGUUGUGAAUCAUAUGGACUUGCAAUCCGGAUGUUGUGAUUCAUCCAUGCAAGGCAUCCAAAACAUGCGAUCUUAUUUUGAGUUUUGGCGAGUUCUCCGUCCAGCUGAAUCUGGGGAUGUAAUCUUAAAUUGUUAGUAAUAUAAUUUACAAUUAUAAUCAUUAUUUGACAACUGUGGUCAAUUGUAAUCAAUAAUGUGUCCACCAAAUGGCAUUCACUUAAAGAUUCAUUAACCAUUGUGAUCAAUUGUAAGUGAACAUGGAUAUUGAUGGACUCAUGUGCACUGUUUUUUAUUUUUGUUAACACAGUAAGUAAAUGUAUUUUCUGUCCUUAUGCAAUCAUGGUUUUAAGACUGCUCGCUACUUUCAAGAACAGGCAGGCAACAAUGAAUAAAGAUAAGAAAAUGACUAUCUGUUCACAAUUGGUGUGUAUCUUCUUCAAGUGAAUGCCAUUUGAUGGGAGCUUAAUACUUAGAUAAAUGAGAGCAAUUUCGAUUUCACAUGUUUUUCAUGGUUCAAUCGACUUGGACUACUCCCUUCGUCCUUGCCUAUCAGGUGGUGACACUCAUGCGUGACUCGACUCCGGAUCAUUCAAGACUAACUGGUUUGCAGAUGCAAUUGUCAUUGAACUACUCACAGCUUUAUGCACCUCUCACAGUUCUUUUAGUAUCCCAUUGGCGGUCGCGUAAGCUUCUCCAUCUCAAGAGCAGAUUGUUCCACAGGACGGGCAACUUAGAGACAAAGCAUGAGAUGUGAUGAUCCGAAUGUAUGGGAGUAUGCAUCAAAUUUUGGUGGCUUCAAAUAGUGUACCAGAGGAAAUGUGCUAUCUCUGGACAUGGAGGCAAAGACCGAGAACCAAGUCCCAGAGUAUGUACCAUACUCAUUGAUAAAUAAUAGGGCACUGGAAUUUGGCAUACUAUUUUCAAGUAUGUUUCUGUUGAAAGGAAUCUAUGUGGUAACUAUUGGAUCUGUCAAUUACACAUUUCCUUGAUCCAAUUUCGAAAGGAGCGGCAGCUUGUUAUUGAAUAUUGAGGCGUAAACUCUCACUUCUAUCUUUUGGAUCUCAAUACACACUUGCUUGGAAGGAUGUGUAAUUUAUUAUUGCUCCUUUUUUUCUGACAUCUUGUCUUAAUCUGAUUAAUGUUGUCUAGUAAUGGUGAUGAAAUACUUAGAAAUUCUAUCUACCAUGGAU